UACGUAGGGAGCGAGCGUUGUCCGAAUUUACUGGGCGUAAAGCGCGCGUAGGCGGGCUGUUAAGUGAGAAGUGAAAGGCUGGGGCUCAACCCCAUGCAGUGCUUCUCAUACUGGCAGUCUUGAGGGCGGUAGAGAGAAGUGGAAUGGCUGGUGUAGCGGUGAAAUGCGUAGAUAUCAGUCGGAACACCGGUGGCGAAGGCGGCUUCUUGGGCCGUUUCUGACGCUGAGGCGCGAAAGCCAGGGGAGCGAACGGG
rnacentral:rRNA from 1 species